CACGUAGGGCGCAAGCGUUGUCCGGAAUUAUUGGGCGUAAAGAGCUCGUAGGCGGUCUGUUGCGUCCGCUGUGAAAACUCGGGGCUUAACCCCGAGCCUGCAGUGGAUACGGGCAGACUAGAGGUAGGUAGGGGAGAAUGGAAUUCCCGGUGUAGCGGUGAAAUGCGCAGAUAUCGGGAGGAACACCGGUGGCGAAGGCGGUUCUCUGGGCAGUGGCUGACGCUGAGGCGCGACAGCGUGGGGAGCAAACAGG
rnacentral:rRNA from 1 species